GCCCGGAUAGCUCAGUCGGUAGAGCAGGGGAUUGAAAAUCCCAUUCCAGGACGCCACGAUUUAAGCGUCCUGCCUCCA
rnacentral:tRNA from 1 species